AUUGAACGCUGGCGGCAGGCCUAACACAUGCAAGUCGAGCGGAUGAGAGGAGCUUGCUUCUCGAUUCAGCGGCGGACGGGUGAGUGAUGCCUAGGAAUCUGCCUGGUAGUGGGGGACAACGUUUCGAAAGGAACGCUAAUACCGCAUACGUCCUACGGGAGAAAGCAGGGGACCUUCGGGCCUUGCGCUAUCAGAUGAGCCUAGGUCGGAUUAGCUAGUUGGUGAGGUAAUGGCUCACCAAGGCGACGAUCCGUAACUGGUCUGAGAGGAUGAUCAGUCACACUGGAACUGAGAAACGGUCCAGAGUCCUACGGGAGGAAGCAGUGGGGAAUAUUGGACAAUGGGCGAAAGACUGAUCCUGCCAUGCCGCGUGUGUGAAGAAGGUCUUCGGAUUGUAAAGCACUUUAAGUUGGGAGGAAGGGUUGUAGAUUAAUACUCUGCAAUUUUGACGUUACCGACAGAAUAAGCACCGGCUAACUCUGUGCCAGCCGCCGCAGUAACAC
rnacentral:rRNA from 1 species